rnacentral:rRNA from 1 species
GGAGGUUGGCUUAGAAGCAGCCAUUCCUUUAAAGAGUGCGUAAUAGCUCACUAGUCAAGCGACUCGGCGUCGAUAAUAAGCGGGCAUAAGUCUGUUGCCGAAGCUGUGGGAUUGAAAGAUCGGUAGGGGAGCAUUCCAGUGGCGUUGAAGUUGUCUCGCGAGAGAUGGUGGAGCGACUGGAAGCGAAAAUGUAGGCAUGAGUAACGAUAAGACGGGUGAAAAACCCGUCCACCGUAAACCCAAGGGUUCCUGAUCAACGCUAAUCGGAUCAGGGUUAGUCGAGACCUAAGGUGUACCCGGUAAGGCCGGGGAAGCCGAUGGCAAAGCGGUUAAAUAUUCCGCUACCGCGACCAACGCGUGGCUAAGGCGUGACGCAGAAGUGACACUCCCGCGUGCUGACGAAUGCACGUUAAAGGGCGUAGGCCGGGGGGCAGGUAAAUCCGUCCCCCACGAGGCUGAACCCCGACAGUACCCGGACCCGCAAGGGGAAGGGAUAGUGGAGGUAAUCAUGCUGCCAAGAAAAGCGUCGUAGUUUGUUAGAGUCGCUCGUACCCCAAACCGACACAGGUGGGUGAGGAGAGUAUCCUCAGGUGCUCGAGUAAUUCAUGGCUAAGGAACUAGGCAAAUUAGAUCCGUAACUUCGGGAGAAGGAUCCCCUACUUAGGUAGGGCGCAGUGAAAAGGCCCAAGCGACUGUUUACCAAAAACACAUGUCUCUGCAAAGCCGCAAGGCGAAGUAUAGGGACUGACACCUGCCCGGUGCUGGAAGGUUAAGGAA